UCCGUCGGCUACGACGAGGAAUGUUCCAGUUGGUCUGAUCACUGGAACAGCCUGCUCGUGAAAUUAACAUCAUAUAAGUGGCUCAGCACUCCACAGAUAUAUGUACCCUUAACGUAGUUCUCAGGGAGAUUCGGCAUGACAUAGAAUGCGACAAGGCUGGCCCUUUGAAAUACAGGUACUACUCAUUUUUUGCCAGCUGAGUGGACUGGAACAACGUGAAA